GUAUAAUGGGUCAGCGACUUAUAUUCUGUAGCAAGGUUAACCGAAUAGGGGAGCCGAAGGGAAACCGAGUCUUAACUGGGCGUUAAGUUGCAGGGUAUAGACCCGAAACCCGGUGAUCUAGCCAUGGGCAGGUUGAAGGUUGGGUAACACUAACUGGAGGACCGAACCGACUAAUGUUGAAAAAUUAGCGGAUGACUUGUGGCUGGGGGUGAAAGGCCAAUCAAACCGGGAGAUAGCUGGUUCUCCCCGAAAGCUAUUUAGGUAGCGCCUCGUGAACUCAUCUCCGGGGGUAGAGCACUGUUUCGGCAAGGGGGUCAUCCCGACUUACCAACCCGAUGCAAACUGCGAAUACCGGAGAAUGUUAUCACGGGAGACACACGGCGGGUGCUAACGUCCGUCGUGAAGAGGGAAACAACCCAGACCGCCAGCUAAGGUCCCAAAGUCAUGGUUAAGUGGGAAACGAUGUGGGAAGGCCCAGACAGCCAGGAUGUUGGCUUAGAAGCAGCCAUCAUUUAAAGAAAGCGUAAUAGCUCACUGGUCGAGUCGGCCUGCGCGGAAGAUGUAACGGGGCUAAACCAUGCACCGAAGCUGCGGCAGCGACGCUUAUGCGUUGUUGGGUAGGGGAGCGUUCUGUAAGCCUGUGAAGGUGUACUGUGAGGUAUGCUGGAGGUAUCAGAAGUGCGAAUGCUGACAUAAGUAACGAUAAAGCGGGUGAAAAGCCCGCUCGCCGGAAGACCAAGGGUUCCUGUCCAACGUUAAUCGGGGCAGGGUGAGUCGACCCCUAAGGCGAGGCCGAAAGGCGUAGUCGAUGGGAAACAGGUUAAUAUUCCUGUACUUGGUGUUACUGCGAAGGGGGGACGGAGAAGGCUAUGUUGGCCGGGCGACGGUUGUCCCGGUUUAAGCGUGUAGGCUGGUUUUCCAGGCAAAUCCGGAAAAUCAAGGCUGAGGCGUGAUGACGAGGCACUACGGUGCUGAAGCAACAAAUGCCCUGCUUCCAGGAAAAGCCUCUAAGCAUCAGGUAACAUCAAAUCGUACCCCAAACCGACACAGGUGGUCAGGUAGAGAAUACCAAGGCGCUUGAGAGAACUCGGGUGAAGGAACUAGGCAAAAUGGUGCCGUAACUUCGGGAGAAGGCACGCUGAUAUGUAGGUGAAGCGACUUGCUCGUGGAGCUGAAAUCAGUCGAAGAUACCAGCUGGCUGCAACUGUUUAUUAAAAACACAGCACUGUGCAAACACGAAAGUGGACGUAUACGGUGUGACGCCUGCCCGGUGCCGGAAGGUUAAUUGAUGGGGUUAGCGCAAGCGAAGCUCU
rnacentral:rRNA from 1 species